rnacentral:rRNA from 1 species
AGACGUCUACAUUAGAUACCCGCGUAGUCCCAGCCGUAAACUAUGCGCGUUAGGUGUAUCGGUGACCACGAGUUACCGAGGUGCCGAAGGGAAACCGUGAAACGUGCCGCCUGGGAAGUACGGUCGCAAGGCUGAAACUUAAAGGAAUUGGCGGGGAGCACCACAACGGGUGGAGCCUGCGGUUCAAUUGGACUCAACGCCGGGAAGCUCACCGGAUAAGACAGCGGAAUGAUUGCCGGGCUGAAGACUCUGCAUGACUAGCUG